rnacentral:rRNA from 1 species
GGCUAACGCUGGCGGCGUGGAUUAGGCAUGCAAGUCGGACGGUAGGGCUUUAUCGUAAGAUAGAGUUUGAGAGUGGCGAACGGGUGAGUAACACGUAGGAAUCUACCCUUAAGACGGGGACAACCCAGGGAAACUUGGGCUAAUACCGGAUGAGAGUGCGAGAGAUUGCAUUUAAAAGGGAUGGCGAAAGUUGUCGCUUAGGGAUGAGCCUGCGGUCUAUUAGUUAGUUGGUGAGGUAAGAGCUCACCAAGGCGAUGAUAGAUAGGCGGCCUUAACGGGUGGUCGCCCACACUGGGAUUGAGAUACGGCCCAGACUCCUACGGGAGGCAGCAGUCGAGAAUAGUCUACAAUGGCCGGAAGGCUGAUAGUGCGACGCCGCGUGAGGGAAGAAGGCCUUCGGGUUGUAAACCUCUGUCAUGGGGGAAGAAGGAAGUGACGGUACCCAAGAGGAAGCCCCGCUAACUACGUG